rnacentral:rRNA from 1 species
GAUGAACGCUGGCGGCGUGCCUAAUACAUGCAAGUCGAGCGAACAGACGAGGAGCUUGCUCCUUUGACGUUAGCGGCGGACGGGUGAGUAACACGUGGGUAACCUACCUAUAAGACUGGGAUAACUUCGGGAAACCGGAGCUAAUACCGGAUAAUAUUUCGAACCGCAUGGUUCGAUAGUGAAAGAUGGCUCUGCUAUCACUUAUAGAUGGACCUGCGCCGUAUUAGCUAGUUGGUAAGGUAACGGCUUACCAAGGCAACGAUACGUAGCCGACCUGAGAGCGUGAUCGGGCACACUGGAACUGAGACACGGUCCAGACUCCUACGGGAGGCAGCAGUAGGGAAUCUUCCGCAAUGGGCGAAAGCCUGACGGAGAAACGCCGCGUGAGUGACGAAGGUAUUCGGAUCGUAAAACUCUGUUAUUAGGGAAGAACAAACGUGUAAGUAACUGUGCACGUAUUGACGGUACCUAAUCAGAAAGCCACGGCUAACUACGUG